UGCCAGACUCCUACGGGAGGCAGCAGUGGGGGAUAUUGGACAAUGGGGGAAACCCUGAUCCAGCGACGCCGCGUGAGUGAAGAAGUAUUUCGGUAUGUAAAGCUCUGUCAGCAGGGAAGAAAGAAAUGACGGUACCUGACCAAGAAGCCCCGGCUAACUACGUGCCAGCAGCCGCGGUAAUACGGAGGAUGCGAGCGUUAUCCGGAUUUAUUGGGUUUAAAGGGGGCGUAGGCGGGAUGCCAAGUCAGCGGUAAAAAUGCGGGGCUCAACGCCGGCGAGCCGUUGAAACUGGCGUUCUUGAGUGGGCGAGAAGUAUGCGGAAUGCGUGGUGUAGCGGUGAAAUGCAUA
rnacentral:rRNA from 1 species